rnacentral:rRNA from 1 species
GCCGCGGUAAUACGUAGGGUGCGAGCGUUAAUCGGAAUUACUGGGCGUAAAGCGUGCGCAGGCGGUUUGUUAAGAUAGGCGUAGAAAUCCCCGGGGCUCAACCUGGGAACUGCGUUUAUGACUGGCAGGCUAGAGUAUGGCAGAGGGGGGUGGAAUUCCACGUGUAGCAGUGAAAUGCGUAGAGAUGUGGAGGAACACCGAUGGCGAAGGCAGCCCCCUGGGCCAAUACUGACGCUCAUGCACGAAAGCGUGGGUAGCAAACAGGAUUAGAUACCCUGGUAGUCCACGCCCUAAACGAUGUCAACUAGGUGUUGGGAGGGUAAAACCUUUUAGUACCGGAGCUAACGCGUGAAGUUGACCGCCUGGGGAGUACGGCCGCAAGGUUAAAACUCAAAGGAAUUGACGGGGAC